UACGGAGGGGGCUAGCGUUGUUCGGAAUUACUGGGCGUAAAGCGCACGUAGGCGGCUUUGCAAGUCAGAGGUGAAAGCCCGGGGCUCAACCCCGGAAUUGCCUUUGAGACUGCAUCGCUAGAAUUGUGGAGAGGUAAGUGGAAUUCCGAGUGUAGAGGUGAAAUUCGUAGAUAUUCGGAAGAACACCAGUGGCGAAGGCGGCGAUCUGGGUAGAUACUGACGCUGAGGUGCGAAAGCGUGGGGAGCAAACAGG
rnacentral:rRNA from 1 species